CUUGCAUAACCCAAGCACUGAGCAGCAACAGAGCAGGUUUGCAGGUUUCCCUAGGAGAUGGAGACCAGCUUGCACACUUUAAAGCUCCAGCUCUUCUCCCUCUCUUGGCCUCGCUGGCACUGGGUGUUCUGGAGAACAGAGGUGUUUUUCAAGGCUCAGGAUAUUGUAUAGGAUGGGAAAAAGCCUUUUCUGCUCUUCCCUCCCUGAUGGUUAUCUCAGAAAGCAUUACAAGGGAAAGGUUCAACAAUGGUUAUGGUAGAAGGGAAUAAACUCUGUAUAGCUCAUAAUGGCAGCCACACUUCAUUCAAACCUUUGUCUCUACACUCACUUCAAGUCAAUAAACUGUAACAGCUGGAGCUGGAGAACUGUAUUGGAGGACUUUCCAAGUCACAAGUAUAAAUCCCCUUGAAAAAUAGCAAAUGCUUGCUCUUGGGGCCUGAAAUCUGUGAAACACUAACUGAAUUCUAAUAAAUAUUCUGCUAAUAAAUAUUCUGUGAUCUUCAAGCAUUUGCUCAAGUGCAGGAGCACUUCCCUAUAUUUUCUCUUCACUGACUUUCUUCUUGAAUGGUUUCACGUCUCUCUCAGCUGUAAAUCAAAUGCAAAUUUUCUUUGGCAUUGUGCUUCAGUUCGAGUUAACCAAAGAAACCUGAUCAGAAUCACCUGAGGA